UACGAAGGGGGCUAGCGUUGUUCGGAAUUACUGGGCGUAAAGCGCGCGCAGGCGGUCUUCCAAGUCAGUGGUGAAAGCCCGGAGCUCAACUCCGGAACUGCCAUUGAAACUGUUAGACUUGAGGAUGAGAGAGGUGAGUGGAAUUCCCAGUGUAGAGGUGAAAUUCGUAGAUAUUGGGAAGAACACCGGUGGCGAGGGCGGCUCACUGGCUCAUAUCUGACGCUCAGGCGCGACAGCGUGGGGAUCAAACAGG
rnacentral:rRNA from 1 species